rnacentral:lncRNA from 1 species
AAUCAAGGAAAUGACCAAAAUCACCAUCACUUCUUUGACCCUUUUGCAAACACUAGUCAUCAAACUUUCACUGAAAACCCAUCUUUACUAAAUCCCCAACAACACCAUUUUCUUAACACGACUCACCAACAACAGCAAAAUCACCAAUUUUUUCACCCCCAUCUGAACAACACUACCCUUUAUGACCCACGUGCUUAUGAAACCACUUAUAAUCCCACUCA